UAUUGGGCAAUGGGCGCAAGCCUGACCCAGCCAUGCCGCGUGAGUGAUGAAGGCCUUCGGGUCGUAAAGCUCUGUGGGAAGGGACGAAAAAAACUGACCUAAUACGUCAGGGCUUGACGGUACCUUCUUAGCAAGCACCGGCUAACUCCGUUCCAGCAGCCGCGGUAAUACGGAGGGUGCAAACGUUGCUCGGAAUCAUUGGGCGUAAAGCGCACGUAGGCGGUUCGCUAUGUCGGAUGUGAAAGCCCUCGGCUUAACCGAGGAAGGGCAUCCGAAACUGGCGGGCUUGAGUACGGAAGAGGGUCUCGGAAUUCCCGGUGUAGAGGUGAAAUUCGUAGAUAUCGGGAGGAACACCAGUGGCGAAGGCGGAGACCUGGGCCGAUACUGACGCUGAGGUGCGAAAGCGUGGGGAGCAAAC
rnacentral:rRNA from 1 species